rnacentral:rRNA from 1 species
AUGGACGCUGGCGGCGUGCCUAAUACAUGCCAGUCGAGCGAACAGACGAGGAGCUUGCUCCUCUGACGUUAGCGGCGGACGGGUGAGUAACACGUGGAUAACCUACCUAUAAGACUGGGAUAACUUCGGGAAACCGGAGCUAAUACCGGAUAAUAUAUUGAACCGCAUGGUUCAAUAGUGAAAGACGGUUUUGCUGUCACUUAUAGAUGGAUCCGCGCCGCAUUAGCUAGUUGGUAAGGUAACGGCUUACCAAGGCAACGAUGCGUAGCCGACCUGAGAGGGUGAUCGGCCACACUGGAACUGAGACACGGUCCAGACUCCUACGGGAGGCAGCAGUAGGGAAUCUUCCGCAAUGGGCGAAAGCCUGACGGAGCAACGCCGCGUGAGUGAUGAAGGUCUUCGGAUCGUAAAACUCUGUUAUUAGGGAAGAACAAAUGUGUAAGUAACUAUGCACGUCUUGACGGUACCUAAUCAGAAAGCCACGGCUAACUACGUG